UUGUCUCCAGUGUCUGGUCAUGCACGG
rnacentral:piRNA from 1 species